GACUGUGGCUCAGUGGUAGAAUGCUCACCUAGCACGUGGGAGGCCCUGGGUUCAAUCCCUGGCACCA
rnacentral:tRNA from 1 species